UGGCUCAGAACGAACGCUGGCGGCGCGCUUAACACAUGCAAGUCGAGCGGUCGGGGGGUGACCUCCGGCAGCGGCGGACGGGUGCGUAACGCGUGGGAACCUGCCCCUGGGUUCGGGACAACCGUGGGAAACUGCGGCUGAUACCGGAUGAUCCCUGCGGGGGAAAGGCCUUUUGGUCGCCCGGGGAUGGGCCCGCGUCCGAUUAGGUAGUUGGCGGGGUAACGGCCCACCAAGCCCGUGAUCGGUAGCCGGUCUGAGAGGACGGCCGGCCACACUGGGACUGAGACACGGCCCAGACUCCUACGGGAGGCAGCAGUGGGGAAUCUUGGACAAUGGGCGAAAGCCUGAUUCAGCGACGCCGCGUGGGUGACGA
rnacentral:rRNA from 1 species